rnacentral:lncRNA from 1 species
AAGCUGCAGGGCUUUCACAUUAAGCAGCCUCUUGGUCUUUAUUCCCAAGUGAGCUGCAAUCUUUGAGGGAAAUACCAAAAGGGAGAAUCUUUUGGAGUUCUUGGCUGGGGAAUUAACAACCCCCCCCCCCCCGCAAUCCUUAUGUGCUUGUGUCAGCAGCUCCUAGCCAGCGUAUUGCUGUGCAGGUCUGGUAAGUAGGAAAAACACGGAGUGAGGAUUUCAGAGAAAAUCAUUGAUACAUCCCCGGAUCCCUCUGCUAAAGGAAAGCUUCCUUUAGCGGGGGGAUAGAAAGUGGAGGAAGAAAGAUAUAUCUGGCUGAACAAUUUCAGAGGUGAGAAACGGGUGGGCGAGCCGGGGUGGCGGUUCUGUCUGUGGGUGAGGGGAGGAAGGUGGCAAAGAAAAGUUGCAGCGUCGGUCUGCGCGUGUACUCUAUGGGCUGGGCGCCGGGGAAAGCGCUAGCGUGCGGCCGGGACGCACUGCGGGGCCGAGAGCCGGGAGGACGUCGAAAAACCUUCUCCGCGGCCGAGGCUGGGAGGCUGGAAUUGCUGCCCGCCCGCCCGGAGCUCCAGAAACGCGCCGGCUCCUCUCGCCCGCGGUGGCCGAGGCCGCCAGUGUGGGGGCGCGCGGGGGGCCGGGGCGCCGGCGGCGGCGGGGCGGAGCGCGCGUGAGAGCGAGUGCGAGGCUGCGGGCGGCGGGCUGGCGGGCGAGUGUGCGCGGGAGGAAGGGAGGGAGGGGAGCGGAGCGCGCGCGCCGCCCGGGCCCCGGCCCUCCCAGCCUCCCGGCCUCCGCGCUGCCUCCCGCCCGCGCGCACCGGCUGCCUGCCGCCGCCGACGCUCCUGCUCGCGCCGGCGCUGCACGGGAGCUUGCCCGCCGCCGCCCGCUUUGUGCUUCCCCCCGAAGAUGGGAGCGACCUUUCCCAGCUCGGGAGCUAUUUAAAGGGAGGGAGUGCGCCGUCUUUCCUACUAACGUGGAGGAACGGGGGAAGGAUCCAGCCGCACUCCCCCAAACCAGUAGGUUGGGACAGUUG